AAGUCAUAACAAGGUUUCCGUAGGUGAACCUGCGGAAGGAUCAUUAGAGAAAAGCUAGCGCAAGCGAGCUAAACACACCGUGAACUAUUUUUUUACUUGUGUCAGAAUGUAUUACAAAAAAUGAAACAACUUUCAACAACGGAUCUCUUGGCUCUCGCAUCGAUGAAGAACGCAGCGAAAUGCGAUAAGUAAUGUGAAUUGCAGAAUUCAGUGAAUCAUCGAAUCUUUGAACGCACCUUGCGCCCUCUGGUAUUCCGGAGGGCAUGCCUGUUUGAGUGUCAUGAUCAAUCUCCAAUCAGAGUUUUCUGACUGGGGGAAUUGGGUGUUGCCUCUGGCUCGCCUUAAAUGCAUUAGCGUGGUGUAUAAGUUUCGCCGCUAGCUAUCCGAGAGCAAUCUCAACUGGGAAAGGGAGACCGAUUACCAUCUAGACCUCAAAUCAGGUAGGACUACCCGCUGAACUUA
rnacentral:rRNA from 1 species